UUAUUUACUCGGUGGUGCAAGCAAUAUCAUUCGCCUGCGCGCUCUCAGUCCUAUCUAUCUACUCGUCGCUGUCGCCGUCGCCGCUGCUCUGUAAAAGCCUUUUCUUCCUUUCCUCCGUUUCUCCGCCUCCAACUCCGAGGCCGAGACGGAGAGAGAGAGAGAGAGAAAGAAACUGCAGGUAGAGGAUGCGCCACGAUCGAAGCUGUUUUGUGAAGCUGAACAUUGUUUCGUCGGCCCGAAAGAAGAUAAGCGGUCGAGUUGCGAGGAAAACCCUAGCCUGAUCUGUGAAUUAGGGGUUUUGUGGAUAUGAGGUUGAACGGAGAGAUUGAUGAGGAUGACGAGCGGAGAGAAGCCGAAAUCGACUCGCUUGCGCUUUCGGUCGGUGUUGGCUUUCGAACACUGCCGCAUAAACUCGUGGUCGGUUACGCUCUCACCUCCAAGAAGAAGACCAGCUUCUUACAGCCCAAACUUGUGGCCUUGGCUCGAAAUAAAGGAAUAUUAUUUGUUGCCAUUGAUCGAAAUAGGCCACUGUCAGAUCAAGGUCCUUUUGAUGUUGUCUUGCAUAAGUUGUCAGGGAAGGACUGGUGCCAGGUUGUUGAGGAUUACAGAUUAAAAUAUCCUGAAGUUACUGUUCUUGAUCCUCCAUAUUCCAUACAACAUGUUCGCAACCGUCAGUCCAUGCUUGAGAAUGUGGUUGCGCUGGACUUGCCUGAGUGCCAUGGAAAAAUUGAUGUCCCAAAGCAACUGGUUAUAACAGAAGAUCCACUAUCCAUACCUGAUGAAGUUACUAGGGCUGGAUUCAGACUACCUCUGGUGGUGAAACCACUGAUUGCAGAUGGAAGUGCAAAGUCACAUGAAUUAUUUCUUGCUUAUGAUGAAAUCUCCCUCUCAAAACUUGAACCUCCUUUGGUCGUACAGGAGUUCAUCAAUCAUGGUGGUGUUCUGUUUAAGGUCUAUAUUAUUGGGGAAACUAUAAAGGUUGUCAGGCGUUUCUCUCUACCUGAUGUCAGUAAACCUGACUUGUCAAAAGUAGUUGGCGUAUUCCGUUUCCCACGGGUUUCCUGUGCUGCAGCUUCUGCAGAUGAUGCUGAUCUGGAUCCUGCUGUAGCAGAACUUCCUCCUACCCCUUUGCUUGAGAGGCUUGCAAAGGAGCUUCGCUGUCGAUUGGGUCUCCACUUGUUUAACAUAGAUAUCAUCCGAGAGAUUGGAACCAGAGAUCUAUAUUAUGUUAUUGAUAUCAACUACUUCCCUGGAUAUGGGAAGAUGCCAGAAUACGAGCAUAUAUUUACAGAGUUUCUUCUAAGCCUCGCGAGGAGCAAAUACACAAAGUGGCCUGCUACUUGACCGGGGUUGUAUACUUGUAUGUAUAUGCAUUGCAUAUCAUUAUUUUCUUGCAGGUUUUAACUGCUUGAGAAAUUGGGGAAAGAUCUUGAUUUUGGUUUCUAUUUUUCUGACUGGCAAAAUGGGCAAAUUUAUGUUGUGCAUAGAUAUGAUUUGAUUGCCUCUUGUCUUCCCGGGGUGUUGACCGGGCAACUGGAAGAGGGAUGAACAUGGUCUCUUUUACUGGGGGUUUUUUGUUGUUGUGCAACUUUAGUAACGCCCGCACAAACAAAGGCUGAUUGAUCGUUUUUAACUAGUGUUUUCAAGAAAUCUGACUAUAAAUUGCUAUUUUGGUGCUGGCGUGUAUGAUAUCAAUGUGUCUGUCUUGCUUGGGCAACGGCUAUUCAGAUAUCGGCUCUUCUUUGAUCAAAUGUUGAGUCUUUCUGCUGACUUAGACAAUUGUUGAAUCCGUAUAAAGAAUUCAGGUUGUUCAGA